CGGAGAAGGCGCAUGAGACCCUAAUACCACAUCCAAGGAAGGNAGCAGGNGCGCAAAUUCCUCAAUCCCGACACGGGGAGGUAGUGACAAUAUGUAACAAUAUACGGCUUUAUUGUCGUAUAAUUGGAAUGAGUACAAUUUAAAUCCCUUAACGAGGAACAAUUGGAGGGCAAGUCUGGUGCCAGCAGCCGCGGUAAUUCCAGCUCCAAUAGCGUAUAUUAAAGUUGUUGCAGUUAAAAAGCUCGUAGUUGGACCUUGGGCCUGGACAGGCGGUCCGCCUCACGGCGUGUACUGUCUUGCUGGGCCUUUCCUCUUGGUGAUCUGUGGUUUCGGCCGCAGGGAACCAGGACCUUUACUUUGAAAAAAUUAGAGUGUUCAAAGCAGGCUUUACGCCAGAAUAUAUUAGCAUGGAAUAAUAAAAUAGGACGUGCGGUUCUAUUUUGUUGGUUUUGGGAUCGCCGUACCGAUUAAUAGGUACAGUCCCC
rnacentral:rRNA from 1 species